rnacentral:lncRNA from 1 species
GGAGAGAGAGAGAGAGAGAACUGGCCUUUGAGAGAGCUGAGGCGUGAGAGAUGGUGAAGAGAGGUGUGAGAGAUGGAGAAGAGAGAUCGUGAGAGAUGGUGAAGAGAGGUGUGAGAGAGAUCGUGAAGAGAGGCGUGAGAGAUGGUGAAGGAGAGAGAGAGAGAGAGAGCUGAGGCGUGAGAGAUGCUGAAGAGAGGCGUGAGAGAUAGUGGAGAGAGAGAGAGAGAGAGCUGAGGCGUGAGAGAAGAGAGACUUGAGAGAUGGCGAAGAGAGAGAGAGAGAGAGAGAGAGCUGAGGCCUGAGAAAGUUUUAGGUUAAGGGUAUUGUUUUGUAAUUUUGAAGAUAGAUUAAGGGUGUUUUUGUAUUUUGAAAUUUUUUUUUUUUGAUCGCAGAUUUUUGGUCACAAACGCUGAAUUUUUCGGCGAUCAAAAUUUUUAAUCGCGGGUCGCUAGCGUCUGGUCGCUGCGAUCAGUCGCUGAGUCCGCGACUGGUAAACGAACAACGUUUAGUCGCUGAAGUUGGUCGCUGACGCUAGCGACCUUCAAACGAACAGGGCC